GGAGGGGCUGACCCCCGGAGGGGGGUGGAUCAGGCCACCAACAAGACCCCGAGCCAGGACGACUCAGGGAUGCCCUCCCCUGCUCAGCGGGGGCAAGAGGCGGGUCUUCUGGUCCUCAGGCAGUGGCGUGGACAAGGAUCCCGCCCUCAGGGCAGAGAGACCAAGUCCAGGGGUCGGGGGUCGGGUCCUAGGCACUCUGCUGUCUCUGUGUCCUUCCUCCCCGCGUCGAGGCAUGCCAGCGAGGAUCCCGCAGAUCUGGGCUAGCGGCUUCGCUUUGUACUGUCUGACCACCACCCCUCCGGAUCCAUGGCGCGAAUUUCCUAGCGCUCUCAUCUGCGAAGGCCCCGGGGAUCUGAAGUUCUACCCGCAGAAUCCCGGGUCUCUCCGUCCCCCCAAAAAAGGGGAACCCGAGGCUUCAGGCGGUGCCGGCUGUGGGGACUGUGGAUGGUGGCUGGGGAAGAGACCAGAGGAAGGGGACUGGCAUCAAGUAGUCCAUCAAUAUGAUUGACUACUUUGACAGACUUCCUUGAGCAUAAAACCAACCUUGCAUUCCUGGAAUAAAUCCAGCUCACCCUUAUUUUACUGCUCCAAUCUUUUUAAAAGAAGUGAGGACAAUCAUGCUGGGGAAGCGAUGGACCUUUCUCCCUGGGAAAUGCCCAGGCUGGCUAAUUUGAGACAGAAGAAGGUGCAUUGGCCCCCAGCUCAACCCUGGCUCUGCAACUCUCAGAGGUUGGGUCACGUGAGUUUGCUCCUUAGUGACUUACAGGUAGACCCUACACUAUCGGGAGUUGUCACACAAAGGAAACUUUAUUUGCAGCAAAUAAGGAGAUCGUGGG
rnacentral:lncRNA from 1 species